AACGAACGCUGGCGGCAUGCCUAACACAUGCAAGUCGAACGAGGCCUUCGGGUCUAGUGGCGCACGGGUGCGUAACGCGUGGGAACCUGCCCUUAGGUUCGGAAUAACUCCCCGAAAGGGGUGCUAAUACCGGAUAAUGUCUUCGGACCAAAGAUUUAUCGCCUUUGGAUGGGCCCGCGUUGGAUUAGCUAGUUGGUAGGGUAAAAGCCUACCAAGGCGACGAUCCAUAGCUGGUCUGAGAGGAUGAUCAGCCACACUGGGACCGAGACACGGCCCAGACUCCUACGGGAGGCAGCAGUGGGGAAUAUUGGACAAUGGGCGAAAGCCUGAUCCAGCAAUGCCGCGUGAGUGAUGAAGGCCUUAGGGUUGUAAAGCUCUUUUACCCGGGAUGAUAAUGACAGUACCGGGAGAAUAAGCUCCGGCUAACUCCGUG
rnacentral:rRNA from 1 species